AUAAAGUUUUAUUCUUGCUUAAAAAUUUAUUAUUAAUUUAUUUUACAUGUAAAUUUUUGUGUGAAUUAUAUUAUAUUUUAAAAAUAUAAUAUUUUUAAUAUUAUUCGCAGUAAUUAAUAUUAUAAAAUUUAAAGAAAUUUAGAAAUAGUAAUUUUAUUUAUUAUUAACAAAUUUUGUGCCAGCAGUUGUGGUUAUACAAAAAAUAUAAAUAAAUUUUAUUAGAUGUAGUUAGAUGUAUUAAUUUUAAAUUAAAAAUAAAUUUAUUAGGUGAAAUUUUAAAUUUAUAAUAAUUUAAUUUAUUAAAAAUAAUUGAAGCUAAGAAAUUUUAAUUAUAAACUAGGAUUAGAUACCCUAUUAUUUAAAAUGUAAUUAAAAAGUCUUGAGUAGUAAUAGUUAUGGGCUUGAAACUUAAAGAAUUUGGCGGUAUUUUAGUCUAUUCAGAGGAACCUGUCCUAUAAUCGAUAGUCCACGUUGAAUCUUACUUAAAUUUGUUUAUCAAUUUGUAUAUCGCCGUUAUCAGAAUAUUUUAUAAGAAUAAUAAUUUUCUAAAUUUUUAAUUAAAUAAUGAUGUCAGGUCAAGGUGCAGUUUAUGUUUAAGUAGAGAUGGGUUACAAUAAAUAUAUUUAUAUGAAAAUGAAAUUGUAAUAUUUCAUAGAAGGUGGAUUUGAUAGUAAAAUUAUGUAGAUAAUUAAUUUGAUUAUAGCUCUAAAAUAUGCACAUAUCGCCCGUCGCUCUUAUUAUUAAGAUAAGAUAAGUCGUACAUAGUAGAUGUACUGGAAAGUGUAUCUAGAAUGA
rnacentral:ncRNA from 1 species